UAACGGGGAAGGAUGAGAAGCUUCGACCAAGGUUCGAUUCGAGCGUAGCGAGAAAGCGUUGCCGCAGGCAACGACCCGAAGGGCGAGGCGCAACGCGCCGAGUAAUCCUUCCCCCACCACCA
rnacentral:sRNA from 1 species